UCCCUCGCCACACUACCGCACCAUCUCCCUCCUCCCUCCUCCCUCAUCACUAGCCGCCGCAACAAGGGAUUUGCCACCCCUCCUCCAUCAUCACCAGUCGCAGCAGCAGGAGAUUUGUCGCCGCCGAGAUCCAGCGCCUUGCAAGGUCCUCGGGUCAGCCUUGUCGUGCCCGCCACUCUGUCGACCAGAUCUGUGCCUUUGACUCCCUCUUCUCUCGCGUCGCGCGGUGCCUUCUGCUCCACCAUGCCGCAGUUAAGUUGUGGAUGACGGGGCCAUGGACCGGUCCUUAAGGAGAGAAGGAAGAUGAGGGUGAGAGAAGGAAGGAGAGGAGGGAUAAGGAGAGAGGAAAGAGGAGAGUUUGCCACAAAAAUCUUGCUGAGUGUACAGAUCUGAGGAUGAAGAGAAUAAGAAGAAUUUAGCUGAAGGGGUGAAGAAAAUCAAGAGUUUAUGGUUACUGAAAUUGGAUAACAGAGAGUCACAACUUCAGUUUUCAAUUACAGUAGUUGAUGUGUUAUGUUUGCUGCAAUUUGUCAUGUGUGUUUGAGAGAGAAGGAUGAAAAAGAGGGGACUGGAAGCUUGAUCAUUGCCAGGAUCUGGAUUCAGAGAGAGGGGUGAAAAAGAAGGGACAUGGAUUCAGAGAGGGAUGAAAAGAGGGGACUGAAAGAUCUUGCAUUGCGUUUCUUCAUCUACCAAUACGGUUUCGUGUACCAUUUGAACAUAACCAAGUAGUAUAACCAAAGUGUGCUGGUUUAUGGCUUCUCAUGGGAUGUGAUUCUGGUCAUGCUGCUUGUUAUGAAGGCUGAGGUGAGCAUCAUGAAGAUGAGUAGGCGAGUGGCUGAUAUAGAGAGCUCCUCGAAUGGGGAAGUAGCAUUGUUGGAGGAACUCGAAGAUGAGAAGGUUCCGAAGUCAUGCCUUUGCCUUACUGUUGUGCUGAUACUGGAUGCAACAUUGUGGACCUCUGGUUCGAGCAUGGCCAGCAUGGCCACGGAUUGUAGGGGAGGAAUGUAUUGCCUAAUGAGUUGUAUGCUUUCUUUAGAUCCUCUGUGCUCCCUAUCACAUCUGGCUUGGCCACCUACAAAUUCUUGGGUCCACGUGAGCUCUCUUUCCACUCUGCAAGUUUUGCUUGCUCUUUCUGGGCUAUUUGUGAAGGCUAGCCCCUUUCCUAAGUCUCUUAUUUUAUUAUGGAUCAUGGAAGUGGGGAGUGUAACUCACAUUUUUAUAACACUGAUCCUUUAGGUAUAUAUACUUUGGUUUUCUGAAAGUGGAUUGCAUUUGCUUCCUGAUCACAUUGAAACAAGGGUGGAAACAACCAUCGUCCGCCGACCAUUCUUCCUCCCUCAGGUUCCUGAUCUGAAGCGGAGGAACACGAGGUCGCAUCCAUUAAGUGUCAGAAAGGGGUUGCAAUGAUUUUCUUCAGUCUGACAAUCAUAUAGUAAUUAGACGGUGUAGUACUAUGGCGGUGGUAUACUGAUUUGGUGUAAGAAUCACUAACAUGACUUUGCAUGUACAAAUCUUACAUGUUAAUGAUAUUAAGAAUUAGUAGCAUGUUUUUUUUGUUUACUGCUGGAUUUGCUAACAAGAUGUCUCUUGUGUUGUUGAUUGAUAUGCAGACUUGCUGUUUUUUGUUCAGUUGAAGGGCCCUCCAGGCUUAAGAUCUUUCGAGGAUAAUUGUGUCAUUGAAUCUGAAGGUUAUGCGAUCUCCUAUGUUGCUGCAUGUUGAUCUUCUGUUUUGUUGUAACUCUAUUUUGCUGCUCGAGGUUUGCUUCCUUUCUUUCUAGCUACAUGUGUAUUCUUUGAUUUCUAGCUACAUGCAUGUUUUCCUUUUGCUCAUGGAAUAGUUUACUUAUUUUGAACAGUAGCAUCUCUGUUAUUACAGACAUACUAGGCCCGUGCUUCUUCAUGGUGGCCAUCUCUUUUUUUGUGAGAAGUGUGCCUUAUGGCUUAUUCUUGUAUAUUCAGUUCUUCUGCCAUUCAACAGUCAAUACCAAGCCAUUUUUAUGGAGCCGAUAGUGUUCUGGUGGUCAGUGAUAACUGAAAAUCUCUUUCAUUAUCAUUGCUUGCUAUGUAGCCAUUUUUCUUCUUUUCGCUUUGCUUCGAUGUGUUUAUUUCUAUGGAGUCUCUGCUACCUUACAACAUCAAGAUGAAAACUAAGCAUCUGAGUUUCUUGGAGCAGCCCUACACGUGGUUGUUGUGCCUUUUUCCCUUGUGCUUUUGAAAUGCAACAUGACAGUAGUCAAUGCAUAUAUCAGGGUUGUAAACCUAUUAGAUUUGGGACAGAGGAAAGUGUGAAGAUUUUAUGAUUGUUGCAAAGUAAAAGUUGAUAUUAGUGCCAGCUUAGGUGAUCUGGUCCAAAGGGAUAUCUCAGAUUUAUGAGUUGAUAGUAUAUUUGCAUCUAAGAAUAAACCUUAGUUUUUGGACAGAAUUUAUGAGUGAAAGUAUUCUGGUGUAUACCAGCCUUUUGUGUAGGAUUGUUAUGGUUAUUGUGGUUGUCAAUUUUGUUGACAAAAUAGUUCCAAUGGACAUCUUUUUCGGUGUCGUACGGUAGAUAGAUUUGGUCUGCUCUUUCAUGCGUUCUUCGGCUUUAUGAUUAAUAUUCCCAGAAAUUUGAACAAAAUUGAGCUAUUAAAUAAACGUCCCAGGAAAUUUAGAUUAUUACAGUGGGGGCACUCCUUUGCAUGGUUUUCAGUACAAGAGAUUUAACCUUUUUUGUAGUAUCAUUCUCCCUGGCGGAUUACAUGUAGGUUGUUUUAAUUACAAGCAUGCCUUCAGCUCAUGGUUCUUAUAUUUUUUAUUUU